UUUCUGUUAUAUAAUUGAGUCACUGUAGCAGUUCUACAAUUUCCCACAUCUGAGCUUAACUAAUCAGCUGAAGUAAAUAUGUAAUCCAUUGCUUUAACCCAUUCCAUGGUCGUUUGUUCACUUGAGAGAUGGGCGUAGUAGCUCUCGGGCUAUAGGUGCUGCAGCCAAAGCAGAAGGAAAGAAUCGAGGAGAAGAAAAAUGGAAGGAGAAGAGAAAAGAAAGUUAAGGAGGGAAGGAAAUAAGGAAGAAGAUAUUGGGAGCAGGUUUGGCUUUAGAUUUACAGAGAGGUUAUGGUGAAAGAAGAUUAGAAGUAAAAGUUGGAUGGUGGUCAAUUUCAGAUUAUUUAUAUGAGGAGGUGAACUUAAGGAGAGUUUGGGAAGUCUCGUUAGGUGGACUCGACGACUGAGGUGAGAUAAUCAAUUGUUAAAUCAAGUAGCUAA